rnacentral:tRNA from 1 species
GCCGGUGUGGCGGAAUUGGUAGACGCGGUGGAUUCAAAAUCCAUUGUCUUAACGGACGUGCUGGUUCGAUUCCAGUCAUCGGUA